UCUCUCUUUCUCUCCCCCUACCUACCUACCUAAAAUCCAAAGCAGGAAAUGGUAACUGACAAAAAAUUACUAUGGAAGUUCAGAGAAUGAAGUCAUCAAUUAGGACCUGGACAUCAGGGAAGACUUUCCAAGGAGAUGCCAUCUAAAGCUAGUCUGGAAAAAUAAGCAGAAUAUGGAUUAGGCAAAAAGCACUCCUGGCAAAGCUAUCUCCAUUUUAUAGAUGAGGAAACUGAGGCUGAGAGGAAGAAUGCAACUUUCCCUAAAUAACACAGUUGUCAAUCAGUGAUAGUAAUCUGAAUUCAAACACAUCUGUCCAACUUCAACUCUCACUCUAGCAGGCAAAGUCUCCCUUUA
rnacentral:lncRNA from 1 species